UUUAACACGAGUGAAACAACAAUGUGUAAAACACUUAACAUUACGCAUGCUUUUCAGUCCUCUUUCCACCAUUCCGGUUAAGCGUCACUUCCGAGUAGGAGGAAACCCGAACCCUUGAAAGAGCAGGAUCUGUUGGCGAGGCCCAAUUUCUAGCCUCCGUGUAUUCAGUGGUGUGGCUUCAUUGUAUUUAUAAUAAAAAAGACAUAAACGCCAAGGGACGAGGAUUAGGUGAGUCAUUGAUUGGCCAAACUCUAUCUUCUCCUCCUAAUGUACUGUAGAAAUCAUGCCAAGUGUGUGGCAGAAUGAUUUACAAUGAAUCUCUGUCAAUACCGCACUCAUAGACCCUGCAUAAUCCAUCUUGCAGAUACCCUCCUUACAGAGAAAGGACUUCACUUCACACUAUCGACUCUGCUGGACUGAUCUGUAAUCAGAUAUCACACUGGCCCCGAGUCCUCCUGCGCCAGCAUUUUUCAGGAUAUAGUACUUUCCAGCUCGACAGUGACGAGCAGAAGUGCAGACGGAAGUCGAUCAGAGGGCGAGUACACGCUAGCAGAAGACAUGCGUCAGCUGCCCUGUGUGCGGAGCGCUGCGUUCUUAUGUUAUGUCACCGCGGCGGUGGGAACGACUCAAUCAGCCGCGUCUGCACACUUGGCAGCGUGCCUGAUUGCUGAGUAAGUGCCAGAACAUCCUGACUAACCCUCUUUGUGGAGCUUCUUUUCAAACCCCCAGCCCUACGAGGCAUGCGUGCCUGUCAUAAUAACAAACAUAAUUCCGCCA
rnacentral:lncRNA from 1 species